AGUUUGAUCCUGGCUCAGAUUGAACGCUGGCGGCGUGCUUUACACAUGCAAGUCGAGCGGCAGCAUGACCUUCGGGUUGAUGGCGAGCGGCGAACGGGUGAGUAAUACAUCGGAACGUACCUUCUAGUGGGGGAUAACGCAUCGAAAGAUGUGCUAAUACCGCAUAAUCUCUGAGGAGGAAAGGCGGGGAUCACGUAAGUGACCUGUCGCUGAAAGAGCGGCCGAUGGUCGAUUAGCUAGUUGGCGGGGUAAAAGCCCACCAAGGCGAUGAUCGAUAGCGGGUCUGAGAGGACGAUCCGUCACACUGGGACUGAGACACGGCCCAGACUCCUACGGGAGGCAGCAGUGGGGAAUUUUGGACAAUGGGGGAAACCCUGAUCCAGCAACGCCGCGUGAAUGAAGAAGGCCUUAGGGUUGUAAAGUUCUUUUGUCAGGGAAGAAAGUUUCUGUGCUAAUAUCAUAGAACGAUGACGGUACCUGAAGAAUAAGCACCGGCUAACUACGUGCCAGCAGCCGCGGUAAUACGUAGGGUGCAAGCGUUAAUCGGAAUUACUGGGCGUAAAGCGUGCGCAGGCGGAUAUGUAAGUUAGAAGUGAAAUCCCCGGGCUCAACCUGAGAACUGCUUUUAAGACUGCGUAUCUAGAGUUUGUCAGAGGGGGGUGGAAUUCCAAGUGUAGCAGUGAAAUGCGUAGAGAUUUGGAGGAACACCGAUGGCGAAGGCAGC
rnacentral:rRNA from 1 species